rnacentral:lncRNA from 1 species
UACUGUCUACAAUAUUUCCUCUAUCAUCAUCUUCCCCUCCGACGAAUCCUUCUUCUCCUGUUUACAUCAAACCCCCUCGCUAUUUUCUCCAUCAUCAUCUUCCCCUCCGACAAAUUCUUCUUCUCCUGUUUACAUCAAAUCCCCUCGCUAUCGGCACGUUCCCCGAUGAACCCCCUUCCGAACUCCCUAUAUCAACCCAGAAAAAAACAAAAAAUUAAUCUAUAUAAUAUUGCGAGAGAGUACCAUUAUCAGAGGACCAAGGUAAGGAUUGUUGAUGGGAAAGAGCUAAACGAUGACCAAGAGCAAAGGGAAUAUGAGAUUGCGAGAGUUUUUUUAGAUUUUUUUUUUCAGAAUUGAUGGUCAUCAAUUUAAUGGAGCAAUAAAAGGAGAUGUUCAUCAAUCAACGAGCUCUUCGUGAAGAAUAGAAGGAUAUCCUCAUCAAUUUAGUGGAGCAAUAUGAGAUUGAUGGUUGAAGAUGGACAGUUAUUUGAAAUAGUAGGUUUUGAUUACAUAUUCCCAAUAAAUAAAAAUGUUCUUGGCUUCUUAUGAUUUGAUAUGAACAUAUUUUGGAUUUUGGGUUUGAUGGGAAUGAAUUUUGGGUUUGAUUUGAUCUGUGCAAAUUUUUAGUUUUGAGUUUUGAUUCUUGAUGUGAACGAAUUUGGGUUGCCUCAGAUACAAAAGAAUUUUGGGUU